rnacentral:lncRNA from 1 species
AGGAGCACAAGAAGAAGCACCCGGAUGCUUGUGUCAACUUCUCAGAGUUCUCCAAGAAGUGCUCAGAGACCGUGUCUGCUAAAGAGAAGGGGAAAUGUAAAGACAUGGCAAAGGCUGACAAGGUUCAUUAUGAAAGAGAAAUGAAAACCUUCUUCCCCUCCACCCCAAAGGGGAGACCAAAAGGAAGUUCAAGGACCCCAAUGCACCCAAGGGGUCUCCCUUCAGCCUUCUUCUUGUUCUGUUCUGAGUACUGCCCGAAAACCAAAGGCAAGCAUCCUGGCCUAUCCAUUGGUGAUGUGCAAAGAAACUAGGAGAGAUGGGACCAACACGGCCACGGAUGACAAGCAGCCCUAUGAGAAGAAGGCCACCAAGCUGAAGGAGAAGUACGAGAAGGAUAUUGUUGCCUACAGAGCUAAAGGAAAACCUGAUGCAGUGAAAAAUGGGAUGGUCAAGGCUGAAAAGAGAAAGAAAAAGAAGAGGAAGAUGAGGAGGAGGAAAAAGAGGAGAAGGAAAAAGAGGAAGAGGAAGUUAAAGAAGAUGAUAAGUUGGUUCUAUCACAGUUUUUUUCUAUGUCUAUAAAGCACUUAAACACCUUGUACACAACUCACUCCUUUUAAAGAAAAGAAUUGAAAUAUAAGGCAAUGUAAGAUUUGUUUUUAAA